AGGAACCUGCCUUGGAGAGGGGAAUAACACUCCGAAAGGAGUGCUAAUACCGCAUGAUGCAGUUGGGUCGCAUGGCUCUGACUGCCAAAGAUUUAUCGCUCUGAGAUGGCCUCGCGUCUGAUUAGCUAGUAGGCGGGGUAACGGCCCACCUAGGCGACGAUCAGUAGCCGGACUGAGAGGUUGACCGGCCACAUUGGGACUGAGACACGGCCCAG
rnacentral:rRNA from 1 species